CCUUCUUUGAUAAAAAGUCAAAAGUACAAACUUGAGGACAUGUGCGUGGCUAAUGAGCACAUUGCCGUUUUUAGAGAUGCGUAGCAGCUUGUUGUCGGUGGUGACCUCGUGGAAGUUGGCCCCCUUCUCAUUGGCAAAGAACAAGUCAGGUUUCCAGAUGGAGUCCAACAUGGAGGGGUCGAGGUCCAGCGAGUCGUCUGGGUACUCGCUGUAGGCCAGCCGAGGGUCGUUCCACUGUUGUCUCAAGAAGAUGUUCACUCUGUAAUCCUGAGAGGAGACGGACAGGACAUACGAUCUUAAGAUGUUAGAUAGAGGGAGACACUGUUCUGAAGCUAUAGCUGGAUGCAUGAUCACACAUUUAGUGGUAAUGAGAAUAAAUCUGAAAGCAGCAUA